AAUUGGCAGAGAGAAAACAAAGUAAGGAAAUCAAAUAUAAAUUCCCAGUGCUCCUAAUAUCUCUUGGAAAGAAAAUGGACACCUCUGUUAACAAAGUUAUGAUGAUUUCUACCUCGGUACACAUUUUCGAACUUCUCAGAGAGGAACCAGCUCACCUAGCGGUCCUUUGAGAGCAUUAGCACUCACACCCCAUACAACUAGAACUCAUGACACUGGCAAAUGGUGUUUCUAGAGUGCUUUGCAUUGCCCGACAUGUUCUCACCCUGUUUUCUCCCCAAUCCUUACAAUUCUCCAAAUGCAAGUGCAAACUGGGGUGCUGUCAAGCAGCCUGGUGCUUAAAGGGCAGAGCCAGGAUGGACCCAGAUUCUGGUUUCCACCAUGUGCCUGAUGGAUACCAUGCGGAUGUGGAGCAGGAAACACUGGGUGCAAAUCCCCACCAGGAACUGUUCAUCCUGAAAAAAACCUGCUGCACAUUGCCCUGGUCACCUCAACGAAAAAUGGGUCAAAAUCAAAGUUGAUGAUCAGUCAUAUGAUCUUCAGCAGCCCUGGAAGGGUGUGAGUUCUCGGCAUCCCAUGCAGGAGCUCUGAAUGUACAAGAGGUGCUGAGGAGGGAGCAUGCGCCGGUGCCAAACGCUGGAUGACCUCACUAUCCUCAUGGAAAAGGAGGUGAAUACCACUGCCUUCUUUCUGUGUCCAAGCAAGUUAUGACUGGAAUGGAAAGUAUAGCCACCCGGGGCUGUCAGUACCCCUACCUACUCAAUUGCAGACAUGUUGAUACAGAACAUGAUCAUCGAAUUCCAGUGAAGCCACAGUGAUGGGAGUCCAGCAAGAGUAAAAGCAAGUAGAAGGAAGAAGCCCAGAAAAACCAAAGCGCCUAAGGCCCAUGAAAGCUGUAAUGACUCCUUACCAUGAAGGUUCCCAGCCCUAGGUCCCAUGGCCGGCAUUCAGUGUAAGAUCUAUGAGUGAAUGAAUGGGAUCAGGUACUUUAGCAAAAUAACUAGGGUAACUCUGGAUGAGAAGAGAACGACAUAGUCUGGCAGAGGGUGACAGCUGCUGUUGGUUGCAGGAAGCUGCUGUCUGCUACUGAUAAACAAAUGACAACUUCCCCUGAAUGGGUCCAUAUAUUGCCGGAAGCAGAUUUAUGAUUAAAUUUUUGCUGGCCUUUUUUUUUUUUUGACCAC
rnacentral:lncRNA from 1 species